rnacentral:rRNA from 1 species
UAGGGAAUCUUCCGCAAUGGACGCAAGUCUGAUGGAGCAACGCCGCGUGAGUGAAGAAGGAUUUCGGUUCGUAAAACUCUGUUGUUAGAGAAGAACAGCGCAUGGAGUAACUGUUAUGCGUGUGACGGUAUCUAACCAGAAAGCCACGGCUAACUACGUGCCAGCAGCCGCGGUAAUACGUAGGUGGCAAGCGUUGUCCGGAUUUAUUGGGCGUAAAGCGAGCGCAGGCGGUCAAUUAAGUCUGAUGUGAAAGCCCCCGGCUCAACCGGGGAGGGUCAUUGGAAACUGGUUGACUUGAGUGCAGAAGAGGAGAGUGGAAUUCCAUGUGUAGCAGUGAAAUGCGUAGAUAUAUGGAGGAACACCAGUGGCGAAGGCGACUCUCUGGUCUGUAACUGACGCUGAGGCUCGAAAGCGUGGGUAGCAAACAGG